AUAGUUAGCUGGCAGCAGAAAUACCUGAUCUUGAAGGGGCUUUCUCCAGGGCAAAAACUUGUCCAUUGCUUUCAUGUGGUGCUGAACUCCGUGAUUUCCUUACUAGUGGGAAACUUGACUUCAGAAUUUCUGCUUGAUAAUCCCUAGAUAGUAA
ensembl:snRNA U1 U1 spliceosomal RNA